CGGCCCAUGGCUCCCUGCCUUCCUCUCUUAACCCGAGUUUUCACCGCGUACCUGGGACCCGGAGGCUGCUGCCUGGACGAGAGCCUAUACUUUGUGGCUAAAGACAGAAGGACUUUGAAGGGCAGAGGAAAUUCUUCUUCAACAGUUGACAUAGUCAGUAGGAUACUUUGACUCACUAGACACCACUGCAACGGAGAUCCUUGGGACAUCUGACAUAUACCCGGCAGAAGAUUAAAAAAAAAACAAACUUUUUCUCUUAAAUGACUUAGAGCAAUUUGAUAGAAUACUACCACUGGAACAAAUGGAAACUUGCAUCUUUUUUCUACCUGAACCCUCCAGAAUUCAGAAACUCUCAGAGAGGAAUAUACAUUAGAUGCCCACAUCCUGACUAGCAAGAGCACGGACACGCUUCAGGAGGAUAAAAUCAGCAGAAGGUAGCAAAGACUGUUGUCAAACACCUGCAGUGCC